UACAGCCAUAACACUUUGAAACACCGGUUCUUGUAUGAUCACCAAAGUUAAGCAACAUCAAGCCUGGUCAGUACCUUGAUGGGUGUCUUCUUCAGAAUACUAGGUGCUGUAAG